UUUUUGAGGAUGUUUUCAGCGUGUAUAAUUUUAUUUUCUCUGUUAAGUAGGAAAUGAAAUAAAGCAAAUAAUUCUAGUUGUUCAGUACUUGGAUGAGAGGCUGCCGCAAAUGGAUGAAGAGGAAAAAGAUGUGAGGAAAUAUCAUCAGCUUGAGAAGUAGUGAAAAUGUCUAGAAUAUACUAUUUGUGAUACGGAACUCCAUGAUGCUCGACAAAAAAUUUUGGAGGUCAAUACUUGUUAGAUGCUUGGACAUGCAUAAAGGUUUCUUCAUUUAGUGCUUUUAUGAAUCUUAUAGAAUGUUGCCUAAAAUUACUAGUUGAAGUAUACAAGUAGAGGCAUGCUAGUAGCUAACAAAGAGGAAAAUAAAUAUGAUCAAACUGGAUGAGUAAUUAGCACUGCAAUCCCGGAAUUAAACGUGAAAUUGAUAAUCUUGAUGACAGAAUGUGGUGAAGUGUGAAUAGUUAGUUGCCAUACAAUGAGUGCUGCAAAAAGAUUUAAGGAGGUUUGGAGUAAGAUUUCUUAAAAUUAGCUAAGAUAAAAUAACUAGGUGUUGAAUUGAAUCCUGAUGAGGAGUCCAAGGGUAACAUAGAGAAAGAGGUAGCAGAGAAACGACAAACAGGAAGCGAUAAAAAAGCAGACAGAGCUUGAGCUUAAUGUGAAAGACCUGUAAGAGUCCCUAGAGUGUAUUUUCUUUUCUUAUCUUGAUGGUUUUGUCUAUGCCAAAAGAGCACUUUUAUGUGGUAAAAGGACUUUUACUUUGUGCAAUAUCUUUCUUUCAUAAACAGUUUUGGCAACUUGCUAAUGGAGUGUGAUAAGCAGUUUAUCAUCCUUUAUCAAAAAACUAGGUUAGGCAACCCAUUUUCCAGCAAAGCUACUCAUGAACAAAUGCUGUAAAAGAAAAAUGAUGAUUUACAACAUUUUUUUUCUUCAAAUUUGGUUUAGGAAAGAGUUCAGAUUAGUAUAUUAUGAUACUUUUACAUCAAUGCAGAUGUAUGCUGGUGUUGUCAAAAUCUUUCUAUAGGUGACACUUUCUUAUCUCAUGCUCAUCAUUUAAUUAGGAAAGGACUAUGCCCUCUUAUCAGGUAAUUCCAUGAUCAAAACACAAUGUUAAGGGUUUUUCUUUUUUA